UGGUGUUCGGGUUGUCAUGCCAAUGGCACUGCCCGGUAGCUAAAUGCGGAAGAGAUAAGUGCUGAAAGCAUCUAAGCACGAAACUUGCCCCGAGAUGAGUUCUCCCUGAGACUUUAGGUCUCCUGAAGGAACGUUGAAGACGACGACGUUGAUAGGCCGGGUGUGUAAGCGCAGCGAUGCGUUGAGCUAACCGGUACUAAUGAACCGUGAGGCUUAACCUUACAACGCCGAAG
rnacentral:rRNA from 1 species